rnacentral:siRNA from 1 species
UCGAGAUUAUGUGUGAAACGCGAC